rnacentral:misc_RNA from 1 species
AAGUCGUAACAAGGUUUCCGUAGGUGAACCUGCGGAAGGAUCAUUAUUGAAUAAACUUGGCAUGAGUUGAUGCUGGCUUUUUUAAUGAGCAAGUGCACACCUAUCCAAUUUUUAAUCCCCUGUGCACCUUUGUAAACCUGGACCUUUUCGAGAAAAGUAGUCAUCUGCUUCACUUGGUUUGAGAAUUGUCAUGCUUGCAAAAGUCAAGACUUUUCUUGUUUCAGAUUAUGUUUUCACCAUAUACUCUAAGAAAUUAUCAGAAUGUUAUUAUAUUGGCCUUGUGCCUUUAAAUAUAUAUAUAUACAACUUUCAACAACGGAUCUCUUGGCUUUC